UACGUAGGGUGCAAGCGUUGUCCGGAAUUAUUGGGCGUAAAGAGCUCGUAGGCGGUGUGUCGCGUCGGCCGUGAAAACCGUGCAGCUUAACUGUGGCGUGCGGUCGAUACGGGCAUCACUGGAGUUCGGCAGGGGAGACUGGAAUUCCUGGUGUAGCGGUGAAAUGACGCAGAUAUCAGGAGGAACACCGAUGGCGAAGGCAGGUCUCUGGGCAUUAACUGACGCUGAGGAGCGAAAGCAUGGGGAGCGAACAGG
rnacentral:rRNA from 1 species